AUACGUAGGUGGCGAGCGUUGUCCGGAAUUACUGGGCGUAAAGGAUGCGUAGGUGGAUACUUAAGUGGGAUGAGAAAUCCCCGGGCUCAACCCGGGCACUGCAUUCCAAACUGGGUAUCUAGAGUGCAGGAGAGGAACGCGGAAUUCCUAGUGUAGCGGUGAAAGGCGUAGAUAUUAGGAGGAACACCAGUGGAGAAGGCGGCUUACUGGACUGUAACUGACACUGAGGCAUGAAAGCGUGGAGAGCAAACAGGAUUAGAUACCCUGGUAGUCCACGCCGUAAACGAUGGGUACUAGGUGUAGGAGGUAUCGACCCCUUCUGUGCCGUCGUUAACACAAUAAGUACCCCGCCUGGGGAGUACGGUCGCAAGACUAAAACUCAAAGGAAUUGACGGGG
rnacentral:rRNA from 1 species